GUCUUUAAGAUUAUAAUUUAAAGUCUGACCUGCUCAAUGAUUAUUUAAAUAGCCGCAGUAUACUGACUGUGCAAAGGUAGCAUAAUCAUUAGUUUUUUUAUUGAAAGCUGGAAUGAAUGGUUUGAUGAAAAAAAAUCUGUCUCUUUAAUAUUAAUUGAAUUUUAUUUUUAAGUUAAAAAGCUUAAAUUUAAUUAAGGGACGAGAAGACCCUAUAGAGUUUUAUUAUUAUAAAAAAUGUUGUUUUUAGUAUUAUUUUUUUUAUUUUAAAAUAAUAAUUUUGUUGGGGUGAUAUUAAAGUUUAUUUAACCUUUAAGAAUUUUAAACAAUUAUAUUUGGUUUAAUGAUCCUUUAUUUUGGAUAAUCAGAUUAAAUUACCUUAGGGAUAACAGCGUUAUUUUUUUGUAGAGUUCAUAUCGAUAAAAAAGUUUGCGACCUCGAUGUUGGAUUAAGAUUUAAUUUUGAUGAAGAAGUUAAAAAUUUAAGUCUGUUCGACUUUUUAAAUCUUACAUGAUC
rnacentral:rRNA from 1 species